GACAACGCUGGCGGCGUGCCUAACACAUGCAAGUCGAGCGAAAGACUUCGGUCUUUAGCGGCGGACGGGUGAGUAACACGUGGGUAACCUGCCUCAUAGAGGGGGAUAGCCUUCCGAAAGGAAGAUUAAUACCGCAUAACAUAUUUUUAUCACAUGGUAAGAAUAUCAAAGGAGUAAUCCACUAUGAGAUGGACCCGCGGCGCAUUAGCUAGUUGGUGAGGUAACGGCUCACCAAGGCGACGAUGCGUAGCCGACCUGAGAGGGUGAUCGGCCACAUUGGAACUGAGAAACGGUCCAGACUCCUACGGGAGGCAGCAGUGGGGAAUAUUGCACAAUGGGCGAAAGCCUGAUGCAGCAACGCCGCGUGAGUGAUGAAGGCCUUCGGGUUGUAAAGCUCUGUCUUUGGGGACGAUAAUGACGGUACCCAAGGAGGAAGCCACGGCUAACUACGUG
rnacentral:rRNA from 1 species